rnacentral:misc_RNA from 1 species
AAUUCUCAACCUCCCUAAUUUCUUUUGGGGAAGGCUUGGAUUUUGGAGGCUUUUGCUGGCUUUAUCUGGAAGCCGGCUCCUCUUAAACGGAUUAGUAGGGUUCUCUUUGCCGAUCCCUUGACGUGAUAAGGAUUUUCUUACGUCCGAGGUUCGCGAAGACCUGCUUCUAAUCGUCACGAUUGAACUC